rnacentral:sRNA from 1 species
AUAUCUCUCUGUACGGGAAGGAUGAGAAGCUUCGACUAAGGUUCGAUUCGAGCGCAGCGAGAAAGCGUUGCCAACGGCAACGACCCG